UCAGGAUAGCUCAGUUGGUAGAGCAGAGACUGAA
rnacentral:tRNA from 1 species